AACCUCACUAAAAACUCCUGCCGCUCAC
rnacentral:sRNA from 1 species